CGAUUCCUUCGUUGAAGGCGAGCAGGUCGUCUCCUGCCGUUCUCUAACGCGCGCGCGCGAACAAUUAAAUCCUAAGAUUAGCUCGAGAGACGCGAAACCAGUCCGCGAACUGUUGGCAACCGGCCGCGCUCGCACAGGCGUAGUAUUUUCGUUCCGUUUAGUAGACAGUUGGGAAUAGAAGAGAGCGUGUGUAAAGAGAAUGUGGCAGCAAAACAGCCUGAGCUAUUAAGGCUCGGUUACCGGUAGAAAAAGAUCAAUAAAUACUUGCCAAGGAGUAUUGCAGUAACUCUUUUACUUGAAUCAAGUCCGAUGUUACGGUAGCACUUUUUUUCCUCAGUGCACCAACUAAAGUUGCAGAAGAAACUGAGAGAGAGAGAGAGAAAGCUUAAAAGUCAAGGGUGAAAAUGAGGCCAACAACCCACGAGAGUAUGCACGGUGCGCGCGGGGAUAUCGAUCGACCCCCGGGCUAUUCUGGAUGACACCCACACACAUGGAAUCAGGUCGGCUGGAACGUCUCGGCGCGAAUAGGAGGGGAGGAAAGGUUGUGCACAAAAUAGCGGAUGAAAACAAAUAAACAUGCAAGAUGUAAAAUCGAUGAAAAUAAUUGCAUCGCAGGUACAAUUAUGAGAUGCAUUCCGCACGCGUGGGACAAGAGAGGAUGUCGUUAACAGGAUUGAGAAAUUAAAAUUCCGCCGGUGGCCGCGGUAACGGGUUCCUCCGACGUUUCUUGUCGACGCGCGCGACCCCAUUGCACUCCUUGUCGAUAACUGCGUCGUUUGUUUUGAAAGCGGUACACCUACUUUAAAGUUAAGUUUCUCUCUCUUUCAUAUGUGCUCGCGAGCCUCCUCAAGUUUCCUUCAUUCGAGUGUUUAAAACAAUACAAACUGAUUGUUUAUUCUGGGAAUUUGUUCAACACCGCCGGAAUUAUGCGAGCGACUCCUCAAGUACAUGGAAGACAGUUCCUACAAUAAAGACUAGAUGAAAACUC